GAUGAACGCUAGCGACAGGCUUAACACAUGCAAGUCGAGGGGCAGCACGUCUUCGGAUGGUGGCGACCGGCGCACGGGUGAGUAACACGUAUGCAACCUACCCAUAACAGGGGGAUAGCCCGUCGAAAGACGGAUUAAUACCGCAUAAAGCAGGGAUACCGCAUGGUAAUAUUUGCUAAAGAUUCAUUGGUUAUGGAUGGGCAUGCGUUCCAUUAGAUAGUUGGUUGGGGUAACGGCUCACCAAGUCAGCGAUGGAUAGGGGAACUGAGAGGUUAGUCCCCCACACUGGUACUGAGACAGGGACCAGACUCCUACGGGAGGCAGCAGUGAGGAAUAUUGGUCAAUGAGCGAGAGCUUGAACCAGCCAAGUCGCGUGAAGGAAGACGGUAUAAAGUAUUGUAAACUUCUUUUGUGAGGGGAUAAAAAAGGGCAUGUAUGCCCUGUUGCAGGUACCUCACGAAUAAGCAUCGGCUAACUCCGUGCCAGCAGCCGCGGUAAUACGGAGGAUGCGAGCGUUAUCCGGAUUUAUUGGGUUUAAAGGGUGCGUAGGCGGACUGAUAAGUCAGCGGUGAAAUCUCAAUGCUUAACAUUGAAACUGCCGUUGAAACUGUCAGUCUUGAGGAUAAGCGAGGCAGGCGGAAUUCGUAGUGUAGCGGUGAAAUGCAUAGAUAUUACGAAGAACCCCGAUAGCGUAGGCAGCUUGCCAGUCUAUCACUGACGCUGAGGCACGAAAGUGCGGGAAUCAAACAGGAUUAGAUACCCUGGUAGUCCGCACUGUAAACGAUGAAUACUAAUUGUUUGGCAGCAAUGCUAAGUGAUACAGCGAAAGCGUUAAGUAUUCCACCUGGGGAGUACGCCGGCAACGGUGAAACUCAAAGGAAUUGACGGGGGCCCGCACAAGCGGAGGAACAUGUGGUUUAAUUCGAUGAUACGCGAGGAACCUUACCCGGGCUCGAACGGCUGUUGAGUGUUUGUGAAAGCAGGCAGUCCGCAAGGACAACAGUCGAGGUGCUGCAUGGUUGUCGUCAGCUCGUGCCGUGAGGUGUCGGCUUAAGUGCCAUAACGAGCGCAACCCUUACCAUUAGUUACCAGCAUUCAGAUGGGGACUCUAGUGGGACUGCCACCGUAAGGUGUGAGGAAGGUGGGGAUGACGUCAAAUCAGCACGGCCCUUACGUCCGGGGCGACACACGUGUUACAAUGGGCAGGACAGAGAGAAGCUUGGUGGCGACACCCGGCAAAUCUACAAACUUGCUCCCAGUUCGGAUCGAAGUCUGCAACCCGACUUCGUGAAGCUGGAUUCGCUAGUAAUCGCGCAUCAGCCAUGGCGCGGUGAAUACGUUCCCGGGC
rnacentral:rRNA from 1 species